UGCCCAACACAUGCAAGUCGAACGCGAAAGUGGAGCAAUCCAUGAGUAGAGUGGCAAACGGGUGAGUAACACGUGGGUGACCUGCCUUCGAGCGGGGGAUAACGUCCCGAAAGGGACGCUAAUACCGCAUAACAUGCCGCCUUUUAACAGGUGGACAUCAAAGCUGGGGAUCGCAAGACCUAGCACUUGAAGAGGGGCCCGCGUCUGAUUAGCUAGUUGGUGGGGUAACGGCUCACCAAGGCAACGAUCAGUAUCCGGCCUGAGAGGGCGGACGGACACACUGGGACUGAGACACGGCCCAGACUCCUACGGGAGGCAGCAGUGGGGAAUUGUUCGCAAUGGGCGCAAGCCUGACGACGCUACACCGCGUGGAGGAUGAAGACCUUCGGGUCGUAAACUCC
rnacentral:rRNA from 1 species